GUUGCCACUUUUUAAUUUCUACUUUUUUGCCAAGCUGUAAAAUUGUAUAACAAACGCCUUUUCUCGUACAAAAAUAAAUCACAAAUUCCAACGCGGCAUUGGCUGGUAAGUCCAAAAAUAAUACUUAAACCUAAGUUAAUAUAAAAACGAAUAGACCCCUCCACAUUCACGCAAAAAACAUCCAUGGUACAGUCAGCAAAACUAUUAGCCAAGCACCCCUGCAUGCAUUAUGUUAUAACACAAGCUAAUAUCUUUGCUGAAUGUACAUAAAAACUGUGACAUAAUAAGGACUGCUAAAAGUUCACUGUAGAGUUGCUCUCCUCCAUUUAAUUUUCUGGAUGGCAUCUCAUAGACAUCGUUUACACGCUAAUUCUGGCGUCAGUUCAGUCCUUCAUUCCAUUCCAGUUUUGACUGAUGCCAGAAUGAUGGAAAAUGGACACGGUUAGACGAUCAGUCCAGACUGACAACAGACUGAUAAAAUUACGACACAGUCGCCGUUUGGACACAGAACGCAACAGUCGUUUAGUCUUGUAGUCUAAUAUGGAUAUUAUUAUAAAGAAAAAAAAAGGCCUGUGCUAUGAUAAUUAUCGCUUUACUGUUAAAAAAACGUAUAAAUAGAAAACGGUGGAUGAGAAGCUGGCUACAAAGAAGAGAUCAUUACACGCAUCUAAAUUUAAUUAAUGAAAUACGAGUACGGAAGGAAGACGAAGAUUUUGAAAAUUACUCUCGGAUGAAAGAAGAUCAGUUAUUGCAAAUGGUCAAACCAUAUUUGACAAGACAAAACCUGUAGUGCGGCCGGCGACCUCCUCGGCGUCCUCUUCCAUUGUUGCAUGGACGGUGACUGACGCGAGAAUGACACAAAGAGGUUACACGAUCAGUCUCCUAUCAGUUUUCUGUCAUUCAAAACGGACUGAUGAAAUUUAUCAAUAAAUUUAAAUUUUCAUCAGUCCAGACCAUCAGUCCAUCAGUCCGCAUGUUACACGAUAAUUCUCCCGUCAUUCUGACCAGACUGAUGGACUGAACUGACGCCAGAAUUAGCGUGUAACCGAUGUCUUAAACUAACAGGCGUCUUCUGAUUUUAAUUACAGGUAAAGAAUUAGAUCUGAAAUCUAAAUUAACUUUUUUUUCAACCAAACACGUCACUUUUGACACUAACAGAUCAGAUCCAUAACUAAUCUAGAUCUAAUUCAUAACCUGUUAUCAAAAUCAGAAUACGCCUGUAACUCACUAAAUUCAUCUUUUAUCUGAGGAACAAUUUUUAUGAAAAUUAGCAGUCUCUUUUUUUUACUUAUCUGGUAAAAUGUUCAGCGAGAAUGUGGACGAUUCUUAUAAUAAUUCUACACCAGUCCUAAGGCUUAUUUAUAGAUAAAUAGGUCCCGAAGUCAUGCAAUUACAUUUUUUUACGAAUUAUUCCCAGUGUUAAAGUCGCCAUAUUGGCUACGUGUGCCUGUGGCGCCGUCUGGUUGCUGUAGGCCACAUUAGUUAUUCGACAGUUGACAUAUGUCAAAUUUCGGGCCACGAAGGUUCACAAUUAUGUCGAGGCGUACGUAGUUCACAGUUUUCGUUGAUCACUUUGCACAUACCCAAUUGUAUACUCUAUGGCGUUGUUAUAAGAAUCAUUACCGAUUGGAUUAACUAGGAAUAAUUCAUUUUCCGAUACUCUGCAAUAUAUACAUCGCUUUAUGUAGCAGUCUAGUAAUCCGUGCGAUAAUAAGUAGGUACUUACAACAUAUACAAAUACAAAAAAGUCAGUUAUUCCCCCUAACUCACACACAAGUUGCGAAAUAAACGCGUGAAAGAGAACAGAUUCCUCGCGAA